AUCUAAGUAGUCUAAGUUAAAGACAUAAUAUUGAAGAUAUUAGGAUAAGAUUUCUUCUUAGAUA
rnacentral:tRNA from 2 species